CCGUCAGCUGAUCCCCCGACCAAGGAAGGCACGACCCGCUGCCCCUCUCUUCUAGGGUUUCAAGCGGCGGCGACACAGGCGGUGGCGACGGCGGUUGGCCCGCACCACCACUCACGUCCGUCGCCACGGCCACAUGCCUCGUCGCGACGACAUCGACGCCACCUACGCACCGCACGAUGUCGCGCCUCGCUCGCCUUCUUCGACGAUGCCCGAUGCAGCCAAGCCAGGUGUGCCUCUGCCUUAGCCGACGCAGUCGGCCAUGACUAGCAGCAAUCCCCAAGCCUGACUCGCCGCUGCCGCCUGCCGCGGCUCCGCCUCCUCCUCUACCGCCAGGGCGCUGUGUGAGGAUAGCCGCCGCUUCAUCCAAGGACGCUCUUAUCAAAGCUUGGAACACACUGCUCGAAGGUGACGGGAUGCCUGGGGCAACUGCUGAUGCCGGAGAGGGUCAGCUGUUCUGAACUGGAUUGGGGAGAUCAGUUUUUGUCAGCGAGAGGGCUAUAAGGAGGGCCAUGGCAUUGGUCGGGGAGGAGAACACACUGAUCAAGAUAAAGCAAUCAUUUGAGGACGUACCUGAUGCAGAGGGCGAAUCAAGAGAAAUGGAUGCUCCAUUUAGAGG